AAUGAAAUCACGCCACAUUUGGGUCACACACAGGUUGAAACACUGUCAUAAACAGACAAAGAAGAGACAGACAAGACUGUAAAUAACUGGAAGGCUAAUAAGUUAUGAGAGCAACAUGUAGAAGAAUUACAACGGAGAAAAUAUAGGUCCACUGUAACUCAGAGUGAAGUGUUUGUUGAAAAUGUCCUUGGACUAAAUAUGCUGAACUCCGGGUCUUUUUGGAUGAGCAGGCCAAAACAAAAUCAUGAUGCUGUCGAGGUGUGUUGGGAUCCUCAUGUAAACAUAGUGACACUGAAACUAAAUCUACCAAAUAUCUUUGAGCCGUUUAGAAAAAGGGCUGCUUUCUCCUGGAGAGUUGAUUCUGUUUGCAUGAAUUAUUUCUGCAAUACAAAAAGAAAAAUACCUCCUCUCAAACUAUUUUAUUGAAGACCAUUGUCGUCUUUUAACCAAUUUCAGUGUCAUAGUAAAAAGUAGAAUUAUGAAGGCUCAUUAGUUGGAGAUAUUGUGUUUUCACCAUAUCUACUGUUUUGGGUGGGAAAAAUUCAACUGUAUUCACUGGACUGUCUUGCAGAAAUAUGACUGCUUUCACAUCUAAUUUUUCUUUCGACCUGCAUUCCUGACUGUUUUUUUCUUAAUCUUAAAAAAAGCAUCUCUCUUGCUUCUCUUCGUGCUUUCUUUCCCCCCCGAACACAAGUGAGAGAUAAAGAAAGUCAAGUGCCAUAUAAAUAAAAAGGUCUUGCCAGAGGCACUUAACUCUGCAAUCUUCUGAAAAUUGUGUCUUAGCUCAGCUAGUCCACUCAAGUCACAUUGGAGAAUGGGCUUCGAAUCAAAGCGGGAAUCCUGAAGCCCUGCAGUCAUUAGAAAGACAGAGGAGGAAAAGAACAAAUAAUAAUGGUGAUCUGAUAGCUUUCUCUCUGUGCAUAUUCUAAAGAUCUGCCUCUUAUAGUAAGAUAAAUCAGCUCACUGGCAUGAGUGAAAGCGAGAAUGUAAGCACACUUUUGUCUGUUUUUCCAGCUUCCUUUUGUUAUGCUCAUAGAAGGUUCGUAAUUGCAAGAAAAUCAACACUAUAAUGGUGGAGAAAUUUGAUGAAAUGUCCUUAAAACCUGUGUUGUACCUGAUGAUCAUAAGAACUGACAUGCUAUCAGGGAACAGCCUGCUGCGAGCUCUGUGUCUGGUGAUUAUCAUUACAAUAACAAUGACAGAAUUCAUCUAUAUGAAACAAGGCUUUAUUGGCUCACUGUAUCAGCUCGAGCACAAGGUAGCAGGCCGGACUGAUCAUCGCUUGGCUGCUCGAGCACUUUCUCCUCUGUCCUCCUGUCUGUCUC